GCCAGUAGGACCAUCUGGGAGUCCCCAGGCCUGUUAGCCUGACCCCAGUGCCUGGCAAGGUUAUGGGAUAGGUCAUCUUUAGUAGGAUCACACAGCACCUACAGGGCUCAGACCAGCCAGCAUGGAUUUAGGGGCAGGUCCUGUGGCACAGGUGAUGGGUCUGACCUUGAAGACACAUCCUUCAAGGCUCCAUAGAGCUGUUGCACACCUGGGAUGGAUUUUCAGGCCACCUGAGUGCCUAAUGGGCUUUGGAUCCACGUACAUGAAUGACUUCGAAUGCAUGCAGCAAGAUAUGAGGCCUGCAGUGCUGAACUGGCAACAUCUCCUGCCUUCCCUCUGCAGUGAAUCACCACCUCUCAAACACAACAACAGAUGCUGACUCCUCUGCCUGAUUGUUUAGGGAAGAUGCUGUACUUGGAGACAAAAAGCUCAUCUCCACCUGGAGAGGUGCAAAAGCCCUUCUGAAGGGAUGAUGAAGAGCAGUGCCUGGGAUCUAUGGAUCAUUGCCACAGGGCUCUGUCAAAAACAAGUCAGAUGCCUUCAAAAUGUUGUAAAAAAUAACCCCAAAUUGAGCAUCUGUUAGAGCUGAUGAAUCAGCUUGGCACUUGGAUCACAGAUGUGGUUAUUGCCAUGGGGCUCUGGUCCUCUUUUCUUUCUCUCCUGAAUUUGCAACCAGUCCCACUGAUGUGGUAGAGUGGUGAGUGAUAGAAAUCAAACUGUUCCUUCAAGUGUCUUGUGCCAGCUUGAGGUGGGGGUUUGGGGCCAUGAUGGUUACAGGGAGUCAAAGCCUCCCAAUUUUAACAUCCUUUGCAGAUGCCUGUAU